rnacentral:rRNA from 1 species
UACAGGGGGGGCAAGCGUUGUCCGGAUUUAUUGGGCGUAAAGAGCGUGUAGGCGGCCAGGUAGGUCUGCUGUGAAAACUCGAGGCUCAACCUCGGGCUUGCAAGUGGAUACGGGCAGACUAGAGUGCGGUAGGGGAGACUGGAAUUCCUGGUGUAGCGGUGGAAUGCGCAGAUAUCAGGAGGAACACCGGAUGGCGAAGGCAGGUCUCUGGGCCGCGAACUGACGCGUCGAGGAGCGAAAGCAUGGGGAGCGAACAGAU